UUGUUUUUUUUUUUUUGAGAGGAGUUUUGCUCUGUCACCGAGACUGGAGUACAAUGGCACGAUCUCGGCUCACUGCAACCUCUGCCUCCCGGGUUCAAGCUAUUCUCCUGCCUCAGCCUCUUGAGUAGCUGGGAUUACAGGCAUGUGCCACCAUGCCCAGCUAAUGUUUGUAUUUUUAGUAGAGGAGGGGUUUCACCAUGUUGGUCAGGCUGGUCUCAAACGCCUGACCUCAGGUGAUCUGCCAGCCUUAGCCUCCCACAGUGCUGGGAUUACAGGCGUGAGCCACCAUGCCCAGCCAACAGUAUUUUUUUUCUAUUUUGUGAACAAGUGUUUCCACAUUUUCAUUUUGCACUGGGCCCUACACAUUAUGUAGCCAGCCCUGGGCCCACGGGCCUGCCCUCCCUGCCCUCAUGCUUAUGUGCUUAUUUGAGUCUCUUCUCAGGAAUGUGGACGUCCCACCUCUCUACUCCAACUGAGGAAAACACAUCCUUUCUCACAAAAAGAGCUCCUGCUCUCUUUCCUUCACUCUCCCCAGCACGCUGUGCCCCAAGCCGAGAUCACACCACUGCACUCCAGCCUGGGCGACAAGAGUGAGACUCCACCUCAAAAAAAAAAAGAGGACUUUGCAGCCUUCCAGGAAUUCUUGUCGCCAAUGGAGUAUGAUCCCGAUGCCUUCUCAACAUUCAAAACCGUCUACAAUCUAACUCAAACCUACCUUUACAAUGUCCUCUCCUCCUGUAACCUGUGAGCUCUUCUCCAUCAUCCCUUCAGGGAUCUCUGUAAUAUAAUUUCUUUCUUCCUUGAAGUGGUUUGGCUAUGUCCCACCCAAAUCUCAUCUUGUAUUUGCACGUGUUGUGGGAGGGACCCAUAAUUGAAUCAUGGGGGCAGGUCUUUCCCAUGAUGUUCUCAUGAUAGCAAAGUUUUAAAGGGAUCUGAUAGUUUUAAGAAGGGGAGUUUCCCUGCACAAGCUCUCUUCUCUUGUCUCCCGCCAUGUGAGAUGUGCCUUUCACCUUCUACCAUGAUUGUGAGGCCUCCCAAGC
rnacentral:lncRNA from 10 species